rnacentral:lncRNA from 1 species
CUGGAGACAAGAUGAGCUUUCAAAUUUGAUUAAUUUCAUACAUCUAAUUUAGUUGCAUAGAACCCCUUGUUUGAAACUGAUUGUGCAUAUUCAUCUCAAAUCAUCUUAAGAGCAAUACCCAUUAACAAGAUAAGGUGGAGAUUUCAUCAUCCUUUCUUAGCCCAAAAUCACCAACCGGCAUCCCGCAUUAACCUAAGCCUAAUUAAAAUUAAGUAGACAUUGGCUUCUAGGAUCAAUUGAGUUUAGUUUGAGUAUUAUGAUGAAGUCAAGUACAAAGUAAGUUUGGACUCACCUCUAAAAUUGGUGUCUAAGACAAGAGGUUACAAAGACUAAGCCUAAGUGGACUCAUGGUUAUUUAAUUAGUUUCGUUAGCUUAUCUGGCCAAUCCAAUUGUGUCUAAGACAAGCAAUGGGGGGACCCCCACGACUUCACCUCUUACCUGGCUAGUUAAAGGAAGUGAGAAUAGACCCAACUUGUAUCUAGGCUAAGCCUCUUUAUAUCAAACUGUUAAGUCUAAAGAAUCCAUAGGUGUUUAGAUUUAAUUAGUUGCUAACUUUAUUGCAAUUAACAUUUAACCACAACUAAUUCUUCUCGUCUAUCAUCUUUAGGUCUAAGACUUUCUUGAGGUUCUCACUUUUAGAACCUCUCUCUUUCUUCCUCUUCUCAUUCCUUACUCUCUUCUUCUUAAAAAAAAAAAAUCUGAACCAUACACAUUAGGAUUUGUACUGGUAUAUGCACGGUAGGAGAUCUCUUUAUCUUGAUCUAGUUGAAUCUAAUUCUGAAAUUAAACAGCUGAUCCAUAUUAAACCUGAUAAUCAAAUGGCUGAAAAUCUUAAGAACCACCUAGACAGAUGAAGGAAUAUUUUAUUCCUUUCAUCUAUAACCCAUCGAUGUUUCUAUCAUUCUAUGGGAUCAAACAUUCAGACUCUAGUUCUAAGAUCGAUCUGAACCUGAUAGCCCAAAAAUUAGAUAAAGUCGACCUUCUUAUAGAUAAAUUCUUAGCCUUAGGUCAAUAAUCUCCUGUGCAAUACACACCACCUCUCAAUUAUCAAGAGACUUGUUCUAUCUGUGCUAGCCUAACCCAUCAUGUGAGUGAAUGUCACAUGACUGCACAGUUUUUAUCUUUCAUCCAAGAACAAGUUCAAGCUACCCAAGGUUACUCCAAGCCUGUCAAUGUCCCAUUUUUAAACAC